GAAAUGCGAUAACUAGUGUGAAUUGCAGAAUUCCGUGAAUCAUCAAGUCUUUGAACGCACAUUGCGCCCCCUGGUAUUCCGGGGGGCAUGCCUGUCCGAGCGUCAUUGCUGCCCAUCAAGCACGGCUUGUGUGUUGGGUCGUCGUCCCCUCUCCGGGGGGACGGGCCCCAAAGGCAGCGGCGGCACCGCGUCCGAUCCUCGAGCGUAUGGGGCUUUGUCACCCGCUCUGUAGGCCCGGCCGGCGCUUGCCGAACGCAAAUCAAUCUUUUUCCAGGUUGACCUCGGAUCAGGUAGGGAUACCCGCUGAACUUAAGC
rnacentral:misc_RNA from 1 species